ACGAGAGUACGUAUAUACAUAUAUACACAUCGGAGUCGAAGAGAAGAAGGAAGCCGUCCCUCGCGCGCCCAUCUAAAGUAUUUUUUCUCAUCGAAAUUUUCCAGGAAACAAAUUGCAGUUGCCCGCACACACUCUGCACGCGCCACUUCUCUUUCUCUCUCCCGCAUAUAAUUUCGAUAAACGCCGGACUACCAGAGGAAGAAGAAGAGUUGUCUCAACACCCCCCGACGUGGACGAAACGGUCGGACAACGAUUUUUCUCUCUCCGGAUUUAUCCAUGGUGUAUUAGCAUCCCUCUCGAGGACUGGAGAUUGAAAGGGAGCCAGGAAGACUUGGAGGGACGAGCGAGCGAGGGCUUCUCUUCCUUUUUUUUUUUUUUU